UUCCAAGUUCCAAGUUCCUGUUGUCAAUCUCUGACUGAAAGACAUGAAGUACACGACGAGCCUAUUUGUUUCGAUCCUUCUCCUGUUAUCGUCAUCCCGUUCUGCCCAGAAAAACCAGGAUUCUGAAAGUUUUGCAGCUUCAAGGCUUCUACAAGAAGAAGAGCGUCAUGAAAUACAUUUUUCCAGAGGAAGAAGUAGGGCAGCAUGGAAGAUUAUUGAGGAG